AAAGCCCCGCGGCUGAGAAGCACAUCGAAAUGCACGUUCGGAKCAAGCACCCCUANAAUGGGURCCGGGGCUU
rnacentral:tRNA from 1 species